UUGCAAUGAUAAUUCAGAAAAUGUUUGAGCGUGUCUAAAAAUUCUCUGUGGAAGUCUGACAAUCAUGUCAAUCUGAGUGGUUACCUAAGCAA